UUUACUUUAAGAAAUUUUUAGUGGCGGACGGGUGAGUAACGCGUGGGUAACCUACCCAUAAAGCCGGGACAACCCUUGGAAACGAGGGCUAAUACCGGAUAAUCUUGAGAAGUGGCAUCACUUUUCAAGGAAAGGUGGCCUCUGUAUAUGCUACCGAUUAUGGAUGGACCCGCGUCUGAUUAGCUAGUUGGUGGGGUAAAGGCCUACCAAGGCGACGAUCAGUAGCCGGCCUGAGAGGGUGAACGGCCACACUGGGACUGAGACACGGCCCAGACUCCUACGGGAGGCAGCAGUGGGGAAUCUUCCGCAAUGGACGAAAGUCUGACGGAGCAACGCCGCGUGUAUGAUGAAGGUCUUCGGAUUGUAAAGUACUGUCUUUGGGGAAGAAUGAUGCAUUUGAAAAUAUUGAGUGCAUAUGACGGUACCCAAGGAGGAAGCCCCGGCUAACUACGUGCCAGCAGCCGCGGUAAUACGUAGGGGGCAAGCGUUGUCCGGAAUUAUUGGGCGUAAAGGGCGCGUAGGCGGAUAGUUAAGUCCGGUGUGAAAGAUCAGGGCUCAACCCUGAGAGUGCAUCGGAAACUGGGUAUCUUGAGGACAGGAGAGGAAAGUGGAAUUCCACGUGUAGCGGUGAAAUGCGUAGAUAUGUGGAGGAACACCAGUGGCGAAGGCGACUUCUGGAC
rnacentral:rRNA from 1 species